ACAAAGUAUGUAAAUCUACGGUCCUAAAUAGGAAAAAAAGUUUGAAAACUAUAAAUCUCCUUUACAUUUUCAAAGAAAAACAUGAUGCUUACAAGACAUUAUUUAAAAUGUGGCUGUUAUCUAAGAUUUAGAGGUAUUGUACCUCUUUUUCCCAGAAACGUAAACGUUUGAUACAUGGAAAGAUAUUUGAAAAUAACUUACCAUUGAGAAGAAGGUUUCAAUGUACCGUAGAAUUUCAAGGUUUAAGAAAAUUCAAACCAGUCGACUAGCUUUUCGUUUCAAACGACCGUAGUUAUUUUAAUACGAAA